rnacentral:lncRNA from 1 species
AAAACAGGGAGAGUAUCCCGGAUUAUCCAGGUGGUAUCAGUGGAAUCAUAAGGCUCUUUAGAAGUGUGGGGGGCGGAGCAGAAGAGGUCAGAGUGGUGUGACAUGAGGACUCCAACUGUUAUUGCCAGUUUAGAAGGUGAAGGAAGGGGCCACAAACCAAGGAGUGGGGCAGCCUCUAGAUGCUGGAAAAGGCAAGGAAACAGAUUCUUCCCUAGAGCCCCCAGCAGGAACCGAGCACUGCUGACACCUCGAUACCAGCCCAUUGAGACUCAUGCGGAACCUCCUCGAACCUACAGAGCUUUAAGGAAGAUUAGCCCUGAGCUAACAUCUGCCACCAAUCCUCCUCUUUUUGCUGAAGAAGACUGGCCCUGAGCUAACAUGUGUGCCCAUCUUCCUCUACUUUCUAUGUAGGACGCCUACCACAGCAUGGCUUGCCAAGUGGUGCCGUGUCCGCACCAGGGAUCCGAACUGGCGAACCCCAGGCCUCUAAAGCAGAACGUGCGAACUUAACCGCUGCACCACAGGGCCAGCCCCUGAAUUAACUUUUAGUUUCCUGAUAGGAAUAGAAGUGCACAACUUAGCCACAUUCUUUCCAGCUUCUAGUUCACAUUGUUAUUUUCAAAAUCAUCCUCCCAUCUUCACCCUCACACCCCUAAAUACGUAUGUAACAGAAGCAGUAUAUUUUAACUUUCCCCUUCUGUCAUAUUUUCGUUUCAUCCAAUCUCCGACUCUUGUGUGCAACACUCUCCAAGUUCUGCGCUCAGGGUCUGAUUCUGUUUUAACCACCCACAUCGAGAGAACUCCCUUCUUCCCAUGGCUGUGCUGUUGCCCUCCUUGAGGGAGAGCACACGGACCAUAUGAGGAGCUCAUGCAUGGCGAGCUGACCUGGAGCUCUCUGUAGCUUUCCAGUCCUCCACCCUCAAGACCGUGUGCAUUUUUCUGAAGACUGACGGGACACCAUAGCAGUAAAAGCAGGCAUGGUGACUCAUGUCAGCAGGGAGAGAUUUCUACUAAAUUAAAAAACCAUUGUUAAAGGGAGAUGUUCAUCAACUGAUGCAUGGAUAAACAAUAUGGUGCAUCCAUACAAUGGAAUAUUAUUUGGCCAUAAAAGGAAUGAAGUACUAAUAGAUGCUACAACAUGGGUGGACUUGAAAACAUGCUCAGUGAAGGAAGUCAGUCAUAAAACGAUGGUAUUGUCUGAUUCCAUUUACAUGAAAGGUCUAUAAUAGGCAAAUCCACACAGACACAGAAGGUAGAUGAGUAGUUGCCUAGGGUUGGGGAUGCAUGAGAAAGGUUAGAGCAGAUGACUAAGGGAGGCAGAGCUUUUUAGGAGUGAUGAAAAUGUUCUAAAAUUGAUUAUAAU